rnacentral:rRNA from 1 species
CUAGUGAUAGCUGGUUACUCAAAAAAAGGAUCUUAGUCCAACCUAAAGUUAAAAUAAUACCCACUUAAGAUAUAAAAUAAACUUUAGAGCAAUUCAAAUAAGGUACAGCCUAUUUGAAAUAGGGUACAACCUAUGCUAACGGGUUAACCACAACAUAUAAUCAACCAAGUGGGCCUAAAAGCAGCCACCUUCAACAAUAGCGUCAAAGCCUAAUUGAAUUAUACCACUAUCCCAACACCCCCCUCCAACCCUUAACUAUUAUUGAGUACUUCUAUAACCCCUAUAGAAGAUUUUAUGUCAAAACUAGUAACAAGAAGAAGACCUUCUCUUAAAUGCAAGUGUAAACCAGAAAGGACACGCCACUGAUAAUUAACACAUUUGAACACAUAAUGGCAACCACACAAGAAAACCCCAAUAAAUUAAAUGUUAAACUAACACAAGAGCAUUAAAAGAAAGAUUAAAAGAAAAAGAAGGAACUCGGCAAAUAUUAACCCCGCCUGUUUACCAAAAACAUCGCCUUUUGAGACCACAUAAAAGGUCCAGCCUGCCCAGUGACCAUGUUCAACGGCCGCGGUAUCCUAACCGUGCGAAGGUAGCGUAAUCACUUGUUCUUUAAAUAAGGACUAGUAUGAAUGGCAUCACGAAGGUUACACUGUCUCCUCUCUCUAAUCAGUGAAACUAAUCUUCCCGUGAAGAAGCGGGAAUCCACACAUAAGACGAGAAGACCCUAUGGAGCUUUAAACGAAAUAACAACUGCCACCACAAAUACUAAUUCCAGAAAACUAAUAUCUACCUCGGUAUUUUGUCUAUUAGUUUUAGGUUGGGGUGACCGCGGAGCAAAAAACAACCUCCGCAUUGAACCGGAUAUCCCUAAACAAAAAGCUACAACUUUAUGUAUCAGCAUACUGACAUUAAUUGACCCAAUAACUUGAUCAACGAACCAAGUUACCCUAGGGAUAACAGCGCAAUCCAUUUCAAGAGCCCCUAUCGACAAAUGGGUUUACGACCUCGAUGUUGGAUCAGGGUCUCCCAGUGGUGCAGCCGCUACUAAAGGUUCGUUUGUUCAACGAUUAAAACCCUACGUGAUCUGUU